rnacentral:rRNA from 1 species
GUGGGGAAUAUUGGACAAUGGGCGAAAGCCUGAUCCAGCAAUGCCGCGUGAGUGAUGAAGGCCUUAGGGUUGUAAAGCUCUUUUACCAGGGAUGAUAAUGACAGUACCUGGAGAAUAAGCUCCGGCUAACUCCGUGCCAGCAGCCGCGGUAAUACGGAGGGAGCUAGCGUUGUUCGGAAUUACUGGGCGUAAAGCGCGCGUAGGCGGUUUAUCAAGUCAGGGGUGAAAUCCCGGGGCUCAACCCAGGAACUGCCCUUGAAACUGGUUCACUAGAAUCCUGGAGAGGCGAGUGGAAUUCCGAGUGUAGAGGUGAAAUUCGUAGAUAUUCGGAAGAACACCAGUGGCGAAGGCGACUCGCUGGACAGGUAUUGACGCUGAGGUGCGAAAGCGUGGGGAGCAAACAGGAUUAGAAACCCCAGUAGUCC